rnacentral:piRNA from 1 species
UAAAGAAAAUGUGGAGAGUUGAUUGC